GAUGAACGCUGGCGGCGUGCAUAACACAUUCAAGUCGAACGGAGUUGUAGAGAUUCGUCGAAACAACUUAGUGGCGGACGGGUGAGUAACGCGUGAGCAACCUGCCUCUGCAUGAGGGAUAACGUCUGGAAACGGUCGCUAAUACCUCAUAACAUAUGGAGAUCGCAUGUUUUCCAUAUCAAAGAUUUAUUGUGCAGAGAUGGGCUCGCGUCCCAUUAGGUAGUUGGUGAGGUAACGGCCCACCAAGCCGACGAUGGGUAGCCGGACUGAGAGGUUGAACGGCCACAUUGGGACUGAGACACGGCCCAGACUCCUACGGGAGGCAGCAGUGGGGGAUAUUGCACAAUGGAGGAAACUCUGAUGCAGCAACGCCGCGUGAGGGAAGAAGGUCUUCGGAUUGUAAACCUUGUUUUAGUGAAGAAAAAAUGACGGUAGCUAAAGAGGAAGCCACGGCUAACUACGUG
rnacentral:rRNA from 1 species